CCAGGGAGGCGUGCCUGGGC
rnacentral:miRNA from 1 species